ensembl:snoRNA
CCUGCUUCUAGAGGCAUCUCAGGUGCAGCUGCUGUGUCCUGUGUGUCCGUAGGUGGCACAGAGAGAGAGGCCAUGUCGACGCUUAGUGUUCUGACUUGUAAACAUUUAGACGGUUAGUGGUCCAACACG